GACGAACGCUGGCGGCGUGCUUAACACAUGCAAGUCGAACGGUAAGGCCCUUCGGGGUACACGAGUGGCGAACGGGUGAGUAACACGUGGGUGAUCUGCCCUGCACUUCGGGAUAAGCCUGGGAAACUGGGUCUAAUACCGGAUAGGACUCCGGACUGCAUGGUCUGGGGUGGAAAGCUUUUGCGGGGUGGGAUGGGCCCGCGGCCUAUCAGCUUGUUGGUGGGGUGAUGGCCUACCAAGGCGACGACGGGUAGCCGGCCUGAGAGGGUAACCGGCCACACUGGGACUGAGAUACGGCCCAGACUCCUACGGGAGGCAGCAGUGGGGAGUAUUGCACAAUGGGCGCAAGCCUGAUGCAGCGACGCCGCGUGAGGGACGACGGCCUUCGGGUUGUAAACCUCUUUCAGCAUCGACGAAGCGAAAGUGACGGUAGGUGCAGAAGAAGGACCGGCCAACUACGUGCCAGCCGCCGCAGUAA
rnacentral:rRNA from 1 species